GCCUACGGGGCGCAGCAGUGAGGAAUAUUGGUCAAUGGUCGGGAGACUGAACCAGCAAGCCGCGUGAGGGAUGAAGGUACAGAGUAUCGUAAACCUCUUUUGUCAGGGAACAAAGGCGGGGACGUGUCCCCGGAUGAGUGUACCUGAAGAAAAAGCAUCGGCUAGCUCCGUGCCAGCAGCCGCGGUAAUACGGAGGAUGCGAGCGUUAUCCGGAUUUAUUGGGUUUAAAGGGUGCGCAGGCGGUCUGUUAAGUCAGCGGUCAAAGCCCGGGGCUCAACCCCGGCCCGCCGUUGAAACUGGCAGUC
rnacentral:rRNA from 1 species